ensembl:snRNA U6 U6 spliceosomal RNA
GUGCUCACUUCAGCUGCACAUAUACUAAAAUUGGAAUGAUAUGGGAUUAGCAUGGCCCCUGUGAGAGGAUAACAUGCAAAUUUGUGAAUCAUUCCAUAUUUUU